GGAAACCUAAAUCCCAUUUAGCAAAGAAGAAACCAGAAAGUUAACAGAGAAAUGGAGAAAAUGGUGCUGAUGCGAUCUUUGUAUCGAUCGAUAUGCCGCAGAUCUACGGUCUUCUCCGCCACUGCAGCCGCCACAACCUCCGCCGUCAACCACCAGUCCCUCCGCCACCUCCAUUUCUCACCCCAGUCUUUCUCAGCUUCUCCGAGAAACGCUAUUACUGAAUGUCAGCAUCCUUUUACAAUGGCAAUGGGAAGCAUGCGUUCUUUCAGUGAGGAUGUAACUCACAUGCCUAAUAUAGAAGAUUCGGAGGUCAAACGCGCUUUUAAAGACUUGAUGGCUGCAAGCUGGGAUGAGCUCCCAGAUCCUGUCGUCUAUGAUGCAAAGAAUGCACUGUCCAAAACUACUGAUGACAAGGCUGGCCAGGAAGCUUUGGCGAAUGUUUUCCGUGCUGCUGAGGCAGUUGAGGAGUUCACUGGGAUUCUUACAUCUCUAAAAAUGGAAAUCGAUGAUGCUAUCGGUUUAAGUGGUGAAGAUGUGAAGCCUUUGUCAAAAGAAUUCUCUGAUGCACUGCAUACAAUAUUUCAACGCUACAACUCAUACCUGAGUGCUUUUGGGCCAGAUGAGGAAUAUUUGAGGAAGAAAGUUGAGAUGGAGCUGGGGACUAGGAUGAUACACUUAAAGAUGCGAUGCAGUGGCCUCGAUGCUGCAUGGGGAAAGGUUACGGUACUUGGGACUUCUGGACUUGCUGGUUCUUAU
rnacentral:misc_RNA from 1 species